rnacentral:rRNA from 1 species
UAGGGAACCUUCGGCAAUGGGGGGAACCCUGACCGAGCAACGCCGCGUGAGUGAAGAAGGUUUUCGGAUCGUAAAGCUCUGUUGUUAAGGAAGAACGAGUGUGAGAAUGGAAAGUUCAUGCUGUGACGGUACUUAACCAGAAAGGGACGGCUAACUACGUGCCAGCAGACGCGGUAAUACGUAAGGUCCGAGCGUUUUCCGGAAUCAUUGGGCGUAAAGGGUACGUAGGCGGGUAAGCAAGUUAGAAGUGAAAUCCUGUAGCUCAACUACAGUAAGCUUUUAAAACUGCUCAUCUUGAGAUAUGGAAGGGAAAGUAGAAUUCCUAGUGUAGCGAUGAAAUGCGCAGAUAUUAGGAGGAAUACCGGUGGCGAAGGCGACUUUCUGGCCAUAAUCAGACGCUGAGGUACGAAAGCGUGGGUAGCAAACAGG